rnacentral:rRNA from 1 species
CCCUUAGAUGUUCUGGGCCGCACGCGCGCUACACUGAUGCAUUCAACGAGCCUAUCCUUGACCGACAGGUCCGGGUAAUCUUUGAAUCUGCAUCGUGACGGGGAUAGAUUAUUGCAAUUAUUAAUCUUCAACGAGGAAUGCCUAGUAGGCGCAAGUCAUCAGCUUUCGUCGAUUACGUCCCUGCCCUUUGUACACACCGCCCGUCGCUCCUACCGAUUGGGUGUGCUGGUGAAAUGUUCGGAUCGGCCGUUUGUCGCGGUUUCCGCGUCAUGUGGCUGAGAAGUUCAUUAAACCCUCCCACCUAGAGGAAGGAGAAGUCGUAACA